AAAAAGAUAAGCUAAAUUUAAGCUAUUAGGUUCAUACCCUAAAUAUAGGAGAUCCUUCUUUUUA
rnacentral:tRNA from 1 species